rnacentral:rRNA from 1 species
UCGGGGUACUCGAGCGGCGAACGGGUGAGUAACACGUGAGCAACCUGCCCUAGGCUUUGGGAUAACCCCGGGAAACCGGGGCUAAUACCGAAUAUGACCUGGCCUCGCAUGAGGUUUGGUGGAAAGUUUUUCGGCCUGGGAUGGGCUCGCGGCCUAUCAGCUUGUUGGUGGGGUGAUGGCCUACCAAGGCGACGACGGGUAGCCGGCCUGAGAGGGCGACCGGCCACACUGGGACUGAGACACGGCCCAGACUCCUACGGGAGGCAGCAGUGGGGAAUAUUGCACAAUGGGCGGAAGCCUGAUGCAGCGACGCCGCGUGAGGGAUGACGGCCUUCGGGUUGUAAACCUCUUUCAGCAGGGACGAAGCGUAAGUGACGGUACCUGCAGAAGAAGCGCCGGCCAACUACGUGCCAGCAGCCGCGGUAAGACGUAGGGCGCGAGCGUUGUCCGGAUUUAUUGGGCGUAAAGAGCUCGUAGGCGGCUUGUCGCGUCGACUGUGAAAACCCGCAGCUCAACUGCGGGCCUGCAGUCGAUACGGGCAGGCUAGAGUUCGGUAGGGGAGACUGGAAUUCCUGGUGUAGCGGUGAAAUGCGCAGAUAUC